UAAAAAAUGUAAAGGAACUCCUUUUUCAUGGUCUUUUUUUUAUACCUGUGUAGAUGCAGUAUUUGUGCAUGAAAUGGAAAUGAUAAUAAAGAAUCAAGGUACGUUCCAAUAUUGCAUAAUAUAAGUAAAGAUCAGCAAAUACAACCACAAAUUAAUAUCAACAAUAUUAAACAAAAAAUCAUUAUUCUCUUCAUAUUUGUAUAUAAAAUAAGGAGAUGUGUAAUGAUUGAUAAUGGAACAACUAUCUAACAAGACAACUACAUUUGACCCUUCAAUAAUAAUAAAUACUCAUACCGUAUAGUCAGCUAUAAAUGUGAAAUGAUCCAAACAAACAAAACAAACUAAACAAUUAAGGAAAACCUAACAAAACAGACAACAACGGACAACCACUGAAAUACAGGUUCUUGACUUGAAAACAUCACUUAUAGAAUCUUGUGGGUAAAAAUGUCUGCGAACCUCCACGCUUCUAACAUGGACAGUAGAAUAGCAGCACAACAUAAUAACAACAAAAAAAGUGUUGGAAAAAGGUUUACUUAACAGAUCGACUCGAAAUACCAAAGCACAGAUCAUGAGCAGUUUACUGAAAGCUAGCUCAAAACAGUUAAAACUGAAUAAAUGAACAAUGUUAUCCCUGACUUACGUAUCAAUCAGUAUACACACAACGGAUUUAGUGUAGAGAAACCAUAACUAGUCCAAAAGCAUGAACUUGUUAAAUACUAAAACAUAGUAUACUGUCUUUGUUUAGAACUAGAAAUGCUAAUUGUAUUGCAUGUAAUGCAAAACUUGUCGAGAAUUUCGUAUCAGUAUUGCUAGUAAAUAUAAUUUUGAAAUAAAAAAUAAAAUCUGCACAUAUUUUCUUCAUACUGCUGCAUACUAUUUUUAAAAUCAACAUAAGAAAAUCGUAUAUGGCCUAUGAACGGAGUUAACUCUAUGUGCAUCAACACGCUAAACAUCUCCUGCUGUUUGGGAAUCUCACGUCACUCAGUUUCAAAGUCAUAUUAAAAAGAAAUAGUUGUGGUUAAGAACUUGACAAGCACAUUAAUAUAAUCAGAUGGAAAAUAGUAAAACAAGGUUUUUUGUCGCAUAAAGUUAAUAAACCGUAUAGCAAAUUGCAUUCACUGAUGCGGUUUGACGGUGAAACUAGACAACGUAUCUAACAUUGAGCUAUUUCAAUUUCUUAAAUUAUAUCUUUUCAAGCUAUGGAAUUAUUCUUAACCUUUUAACAAUGUUUAAUAUUCUGCACUCAUUUUAUGUUAACACGGAUAUAAGUGUAUUUAAUUCUUUAUAUAUAGGAAAAGGCAACGGAAGAACUAACGAAAAAUCGGGAACGAUAGAUAAAAUGAAAGAAGAAGAUCAAAGGAAAACAAAACAGUCAGAAAAAGAAAUUUCACAAAAGUAACUAAGAGGACUACUGUUUUAUUUGGAAGGGGUUAACGCACGAGUAUGCCUAUUCAUUAGUGACGUGGUUAUAAUAUCUCCAUGAAAAUAUAGAUAAA
rnacentral:lncRNA from 1 species